GACGAACGCUGGCGGCGUGCUUAACACAUGCAAGUCGAACGGAAAGGCCCUGCUUUUGUGGGGUGCUCGAGUGGCGAACGGGUGAGUAACACGUGAGUAACCUGCCCUUGACUUUGGGAUAACUUCAGGAAACUGGGGCUAAUACCGGAUAGGAGCUCCUGCUGCAUGGUGGGGGUUGGAAAGUUUCGGCGGUUGGGGAUGGACUCGCGGCUUAUCAGCUUGUUGGUGGGGUAGUGGCUUACCAAGGCUUUGACGGGUAGCCGGCCUGAGAGGGUGACCGGCCACAUGGGGACUGAGAGACGGCCCAGACUCCUACGGGAGGCAGCAGUGGGGAAUAUUGCACAAUGGGCGGAAGCCUGAUGAAGCAACGCCGCGUGCGGGAUGACGGCCUUCGGGUUGUAAACCGCUUUCGCCUGUGACGAAGCGUGAGUGACGGUAAUGGGUAAAGAAGCACCGGCUAACUACGUG
rnacentral:rRNA from 1 species